UACGUAGGGAGCAAGCGUUGUUCGGAUUUACUGGGCGUAAAGGGCGCGUAGGCGGCAAUUCAAGUCAUCUGUGAAAUCUCCGGGCUUAACUCGGAACGGUCAGAUGAUACUGCUUUGCUAGAGUGCAGAAGGGGCAAUCGGAAUUCUCGGUGUAGCGGUGAAAUGCGUAGAUAUCGAGAGGAACACCAGAGGUGAAGACGGGUUGCUGGGCUGACACUGACGCUGAGGCGCGAAAGCGUGGGGAGCGAACAGG
rnacentral:rRNA from 1 species